CUCUACGUGGUAUAAGACUUCCUAGUGUUGUUUUAGAGAAAACUUUGGUUGUGUGUUGUCCUUAAAGUAGUAUGACACCAGGAAUAUCUAACUAGCUUCAAAUUCCUAAUGAAAGUAUGGCUACAGGAACAAGAAUCCAAAAAGGACAAAUGUCUUGUGAUCAGGAGUCUGUCCUGUUUUGUGACCCGUGUGGACUCCAAGGCGCUGACACAGGGCACACUGUGUAGUUCCAGGCAAACCUACUGUAGCCAACACCCACAUCUUCACAAUGGUGGGAAUCUGAAGUAUCCUCAGCAGAGAAAACCCAGGGUAAAGUUCAUAGCUGAGUGUCCGUGGCAGAGUUGGAGUUGAACCAAUCCAGUGUUUUCAGGUAACUGAUUAAAUGUUUUUACACCUCUAUCCAACUAAAUAUGUGGACAAAAAACUUGCUCAGUAUUACUGGUGGAAUGGACUCCAAAGGGCUGGGGAUGUAGUUCAGUGCGGCUGUGCCUGCCUGACAAGUGCAAGAUUCUGAGUUCGAUUCCCAGUACCAAAAAAAAAAAAAAAAAAGAAAAAGAAAUGGACCCCAAGGACUAGAAGUGUAAUGCCUGAAUACUGAGAAGACUUCCAAUCUUAAACACCUAAAGGACAGCUGUUCUAGGCCACUUGAAAAAUAAAAAAUUAUAUAUACUAUACUUGAAACUAUGGUGGCUGUUAAGUAUUGGUGUUACGAAAGACUGCCCUGUGAGCAAUAUGAUGAUUCUCACACUUGGCAGAGAAUCGUGUAUUUCUUGAGCAUGCAAACUACGCUGAAUCAACAACUAGAAAUGUCAGUGUGAGCUUGUACAUGGCACUAAAAUACUUGAAGAGAUGUCGGCAAAGUUUUAUGUCAAGCAGACUGUUUUUAGGCUUACUCCUUCUUUCAUGUCCAAAUACAAUUAAGGAGGUAAAGCGCUGUUAAGUUCCCUAACUCUGGACCUUUUACUAAAUCAGGGGUUUUGAGUACUAAGAAUGCAAGGAGAACCACCUCCUCUGCUAGAAGUUUAGAUCAAAAGAUUUUUUUUUUUUUUUAACAUUGUUUGGUUUUUGUUUUUCUUUUUGGAACCAGGGAUAGAACUUGGGUCUUUGUGCUUGCGCAGCAAGCGGCGAAACCAUCAAAAGACUUAUUAUGGAGUAGGUUUACAUUCAUGGGAUUUAUCCUAUAAUCAAUAAAUCUGAAACACCUCUGUUGCAUAUAAGAGAAUGAUAAAGAAAUAGGGGAACUUCUGCUAUGAUGAAAAAAAGCUAGUAACUAGUUCUAUGACAGGGAACGAUGGUUAAGAGUAUGCCUUCAGGACUGCAAAUGCCUGACUGGAGAUCUGAUUAGUUACUGACCUUGGAGAAGUGACCUAAAUACCCGCUGCAUUAUCCUUCCCGUUAAAAUGAGCGUAACAGGAGCACCAAUGUCCCAAAGUUACUGUGCUCUUUAACGUGAUAAUUAAGCCAGUACUUAGAAUGGUACCUAG
rnacentral:lncRNA from 1 species